UGGGGAAUAUUGCACAAUGGGGGAAACCCUGAUGCAGCGACGCCGCGUGAGCGAAGCAGGUUUUCGAAUCGUAAAGCUCUGUCCUAUGAGAAGAUAAUGACGGUAUCAUAGGAGGAAGCCCCGGCUAAAUACGUGCCAGCAGCCGCGGUAAUACGUAUGGGGCGAGCGUUGUCCGGAAUUAUUGGGCGUAAAGAGCUUGUAGGCGGUUCGUCGCGUCUGGUGUGAAAGCCCAUCGCUUAACGGUGGGUUUGCGCCGGGUACGGGCGGGCUAGAGUGCAGUAGGGGAGACUGGAAUUCCCGGUGUAACGGUGGAAUGUGUAGAUAUCGGGAAGAACACCAAUGGCGAAGGCAGGUCUCUGGGCUGUUACUGACGCUGAGAAGCGAAAGCGUGGGGAGCGAACAGG
rnacentral:rRNA from 1 species